rnacentral:rRNA from 1 species
AUAAUUUACCCAUAGCUUUGAUUUUUAAACAAAAAAAAAAAUAAAACAUUAAAAUAAAAAAUUAAAUAAAAAAGUAUAGUAAUUAGAAACUAAAACUUUAUAGCUAAAGAGAAAGUACUGAAAAGGAAGUGUGAAAAACUUUAAAAAAAAUUUUAAUUAAAGAAGAUAUAUAAAAUCCUACCUUUUGUAUUAUGGUUUAACAACAAAAAUAAAAAAAAUUUUUAAACCCGAAAUCAAGAGAUCUAAUGAAGUCCCAAUAAAAGAUUGUUAAGUAUUACUGUUGCAAAAGUAAACAAAGAGAUAUCAUUAGCCAUGAAAAAUGAAACGAGCUUGAUUAUAGCUGGCUUUCUGUUAAAUGAGUGUUAGCUCAAGCUUUUACUAAUUUCUAAAUAAAAGUUAGUUUAUUUAAUUAAAAAGCUAGACUAAAAAGGAUAAGCCUUUUAGUCAAAGGAAAAAACCUAAUAAAACAGUUAAAAUCAACAAAUAAAAAAAGAAAAUAAACACUGUAGGCCUAGAAGCAGCCACCAAAAAUAAAGCGUUAAAGCAAAAUAUAAAAAAAAACAAUAAUUUAUGAUAAAAAAAUUUUAACUUUAAUAUUAACAGAAUUAUUCCUAAUUUCAGGUAAAAAAUAAUGUUAAAAUUAGUAUUUAAACCUUUGGUUAAAAAGAUAAUUAAACUAAUCUAACAAUAAAAUGGAAGAAAGAAAAUAAUUUUUUCUAGAAAAAAAUUUUUUCAACAGUUUUACCAACACCGGUAACCAAAUAAAAAAAAGAAAAAGGAAAAAGGAACUCGGCAAAUAAUAACUUCGCCUGUUUACCAAAAACAUCGCUCUUUGUAAAAAAAAAUAAAGAGUACUGCCUGCCCAGUGACUUUAGUUAAACGGCCGCGGUAUCUUGACCGUGCAAAGGUAGCAUAAUCAUUUGUUCUUUAAUUGAGGACUUGUAUGAAAGGCAACACGAAAGUUUAACUGUCUCCUCCCUAAAAAAAAAAUUAAUAUUUUAGUGAAGAAGCUAAAAUAAUACUGCAAGACGAGAAGACCCUGUCGAGCUUAAGAAAAUUUUUAUAAAGUACAAAAAAGAUAAAUAUUACCUGAUUAAGUACUUUAAAUAAAAAAAUCUUUGGUUGGGGCAACCACGAAGAAAAAUAAACCUUCGUUCUUAUUAAUAAAUAAACAAAUUUAAAAUUUUUAAAACAAAAUUUUGACCCAGAAAAUUCUGACUAUAGAAAAAAGUUACCGCAGGGAUAACAGCGUUAUUUUCUUUAAGAGUUCUUAUUGACAAGAAAGUUUGCGACCUCGAUGUUGGACCGGGGUACCCAAGAGGUGCAGAAGCCUCUAAAGGUAGGUCUGUUCGACCUUUAAAACCCUACGCGAUCUGAGUUCAGACCGACGCAAGUCAGGUCAGUUUCUAUCUACAAAAGCAGUUUUAUUAGUACGAAAGGAAUUUAAAACUAGGGUAAAGUUUUCAAAAAAAGCCCUAAAAAAAUACUGUAAACAAAUAAAGAAAAGCUU